UACGUAGGGGUGCAAGCGUUUAAUCGGAAUUACUGGGCGUAAAGCGUGCGCAGGCGGUUCGGAAAGAAAGAUGUGAAAUCCCAGAGCUUAACUUUGGAACUGCAUUUUUAACUACCGAGCUAGAGUGUGUCAGAGGGGAGGUGGAAUUCCGCGUGUAGCAGUGAAAUGACGUAGAUAUGCGGAGGAACACCGAUGGCGCAAGGCAGCCUCCGAUGGGUAACACUGA
rnacentral:rRNA from 1 species